CUAUUACUCCCUCCGUCCCAAAAUACUUGUCAAAGAAAUGGAUAAAAAUAGAUGUAUCUACAAGACUACAACUAAAAUACAUCUAGAUACAUUCAUUUAUCCGACAAGUAUUUCCGGACGAAGGGAGUAUUAU
rfam:Triticum aestivum genome assembly, contig: Triticum_aestivum_CS42_TGACv1_scaffold_404149_5BL